AGAAUCAACGCUGGCGGCGUGCCUAACACAUGCAAGUCGAACGAGAAAGUGGAGCAAUCCAUGAGUAAAGUGGCGACCGGGUGAGUAACACGUGACUAACCUACCUUCGAGUGGGGGAUAACCUAGGGAAACCUGGGCUAAUACCGCAUAACAUCUUUGGAUCGGAAGAACUGGAGAUCAAAGGGGCAAUUCGCUUGAAGAGGGGGUCGCGGCUGAUUAGCUAGUUGGCGGGUAAUGGCCCACCAAGGCUUUGAUCGGUAGCCGGCCUGAGAGGGCGCACGGCCACGACUGGAACUGAAACACGGUCCAGACUCCUACGGAGGCAGCAGUGGGAAUUUUGCGCAAUGGGGGAAACCCUGACGCAGCAACGCCGCGUGGAGGAUGAAGUCCUUGGGACGUAAACUCCUUUCGACCGGUACGAUUAUGACGGUACCGGUGGAAGAAGCCCCGGCUAACUUCGUGCCAGCAGCCGC
rnacentral:rRNA from 1 species